rnacentral:rRNA from 1 species
UCAGGUGUCAGCAGCCGCGGGAACACCAGCCCCUCGAGUGGUGGGGACGUUUAUUUGGCCUAAAGCGUCCGUAGCUGGCUGUAUCCGUUCCCGGUAAAUCCGGCGUCCUAAGCGUCGGGCUUCGGGUAAUACCAUACAGCUAGAGGGUGGGAUAGGUGAGCGGUAUUUCUGGGGUAGGGGCGAAAUCCUUUGAUCCCAGGAGGACCACCAGUGGCGAAGGCUGCUCACUAGAACACGCCUGACGGUCAGGGACGAAAGCUGGGGCAGCGAACCGGAUUAGAUACCCGGGUAGUCCCAGCUGUAAACGAUGCUAGCUAGGUGUUGGGUCGGCCACGCGCCGCCCCAGUGCCGCAGGGAAGCCGUUAAGCUAGCCGCCUGGGGAGUACGGCCGCAAGGCUGAAACUUAAAGGAAUUGGCGGGGGAGCACCACCAGGCGUGAAGCCUGCGGUUUAAUUGGAGUCAACGCCGGAAAUCUUACCGGGAUCGACAGCAGAGUGAAGGCCAGAUUGAAGGUCUUGCUGGACGAGCUGAGAGGUGGUGCAUGG